AAUCAUAGAGACUUGAAUACAAGGUCUACUCUCAGAGGAAGAGCUGUCUAUUAUAGGCCUAUAGAUCAAACUUUGUCAAAGUAACUUUGUAACCCAUUGUCCCUGUGGUGGAUUAACGACGGCCACAAAUUCUUUGACAAUACUCCCAUCAAGAGUAGAUCUAAGUUUCCUUGCCCUAGAACCUAGAUAGGCCCUGUAACUGCUUUGGCCAAUACAAUACAGCAGAAGUAAUGCAGUACCUAUUUCCAGACCCAGGUUUGAGCAACUGGAAAUUUCUAUCCCUUUGGAACUCUUUCUCUCUGGGUACCCUGAGCUACCAGGUAACAUCUGACCAGCCUAAGACCAUCGUGCCAGAGAAGCCACGUGUAAGUGCUCCAGUUGACAGACUCCACUGAGCCAUGUUUUGUAGGCUUCCCUGCCAAGGCACCAGACAUGUGGGUAAAGCUGUCUCGGACCUUCCAGACCAGCCCAUUCACCAGCUGAAUACCACCCAGUGAUCUCAGUCAAUGACAAAGGGAGCAGAAAACUUGCCCACGGACACUGCCUGAAUUCCUGAGCCACCAAACCAAGAGAUAUGGUGAAAUGAUUGCUGCCUGCGGCUGCAUGAUUGCUGGAGUUCCAGCAUCCACUUGUGAUCAUAUGGCAACCAUGAGGAGUGAAGCCAGUGCUAAGGAUGAUGGAGCAGAAGAAGAAAAGGAGCUAGGCCCCUGGCAACAAGAGAGUGUCCUGAUCUUAGUGCCCACUAAGAGGCCAAAGAACUUGCUUCCUCUCUCUUGCUGCUGUGUGAGGAUACAGGAAGGAGGUGAUCAUCUGCAAGUCAGGAAGGGAGCCCUCAACAAGAACUAAAUCUGCUGGUACUUUGAUCUUGGACUUCCCAGUCUCCAGAACUGCGAGAAAUAAAUGUCUGUUGUUUAAGCCACCCUUUCUAUGGUAUUUUUUUAAUAGUAGCUAAGCUGAUUAAGACAGUAGUCUUUGGCACUCUGGAAACAUUUUCCUGUUUCUGCCAUUUGUAGAUCUAAUAACCCUAUCAAAAUGUGCAACCUAAGAUUUCUUCACAGGGCACUUCUCACUCAUUUAAAUUUCAGGAAAUGUCCUCUCCAUGGCUACCUUGUCUGUUUGUAGUAUCUCAUUGAAUCCAUGCUACUGUUGAUAUAAGACACACCAUUAUUUUGUAUGCUAUGAAAGAAAAAGAGAUGCUUCCCAAUGUCUUAAUAUUAAGAGAUGUACAAAAAAAUCUCAAUUUUAAAGUUGUUGAAAUUUUUUAUGUGCAUUUUGGAAUAGAGGAACAUAAUGGCCCUGAGUACAAGUUGUGGUUCUAGGAGGGAGAUAGAACCAAAUAUUUUUAGAUCGUUGUAUUUGUCGUAAACCUGAAACUCCUAGUCCUACUCUAGUUCACGUUUAGAGUUACCCUUUCCUCGGUGGUGUGAAUGGGGGCAGAGAGAUCACUCUGAUAUUCCCAUCUGCUGGGGAAAGGAUUGCUGCUGGGCCAUGAAAGUAGUGCCCAGUGAAGUUUCAACACGCUACUCAUCUUGCUUUCUGGACAGACAGAUGCUAUGAGAGUUGUCUGUGUCUGAUUAAUGAAUUUAAUGAAAUAGGGCCCUUCUCAUUCCCGGCUUAAAGCAGAAGGGUUCUCUUGUAAGUAGCUACAAAAGAAAGAGUCUGGAAAUAGAGAGCAGAGGUGAUUCAUGAUGAAUGGGAACCAGCACAGAGCUCUUAUAUAUUGUAAACCUCCCAGAACAAUCCACACCAGAAACUGAGCUCAGAAGCUGCAUUAUCCCCCAGAUUCUCUCAGGCAGGAACUAACACUCAGAUCCAGAAUUCAAAUUAACAGGAGCUCGGCCAGGCGCGGUGGCUCAAGCCUGUAAUCCCAGCACUUUGGGAGGCCUAGAUGGGUGGAUCACGAGGUCGGGAGAUCGAGACCAUCCUGGCUAACACGGUGAAACCCCGUCUCUACUAAGAAAUACAAAAAAAAAAAAAACUAGCCAGGUGAGGUGGCGGGCACCUGUAGUCCCAGCUACUCGGGAGGCUGAGGCAGGAGAAUGACGUGAACCCGGGUGGCGGAGCUUGCAGUGAGCUGAGAUCCGGCCACUGCACUCCAGCCUGGGCAACAGAGCGAGACUCUGUCUCAAAAAAAAAAAAAAAUUAACAGGAGCUCAGAGGUUCUCUGUCCUGGAUGGAAGCACAUCUUGAGAAUGAAUUAAUUCUGCUGCUACUGGGGAAGCAAUGAGCCUUCCUGCUCAGUUUUCUUCUGACACGUAGUUAAAAACCAAUUCAUGAUUCUGAGGCCUUAUGUGAUGAGGAAGCCUCUGCAUUGGCUGGUGAGCUGUUCUAUUCUCAGCUUCCCCGCAGGGGCUGUAGGAAGCUGGGAUUCCCAGGAGGAAAACCCUCCUGCGGCUUUGCUGCAAUUGGAGCCUCAGGAAGCAGGUUAAUUUUUGAGCAUUCUCCUAGAGUCUCUCACAGAAGAAUUUAGUUGGUGCUGUUUUGAGAGGCCCAGGCAGGACCCAAGGAUCUUUCUUCCCUGCUGUUCAGGCCCCCUCAGGUUGCAUGGGCAAGGUCCUCCCGCCUGCAGCAAGUGGGAACAGUCUCACUUCUGAGCCCUCAUUUUGGGUGGCAGCGGCCUCUUGCUUUCUGAGAAGCACACUGCACCUCACCAUUUCACCCCCAGGGCAGCAGAAGCAAUCAGCAUCAUUAAAGCCUCAUGUCUUCUAAACCCCCAACUUCACCUUGACACUAACAACACUGGCAGCUGCAAAAAUCCGUGGUCAGGAGCUUCCUCCUGCUUCCAGGGCUCUGGUGUGCAAUGCAAUCUCACAGCUUUGCCCCCACACACGUCUCUGCUGGGAAGCUGCCCAUGGCACAAGGCAAGGGGACCCUCUGCGGUGGAUUGUUCCUUGGUCAUCACCACUUAGCGGUUUUUGUAUCUUUAAUUUCAUUAUAAUCUUGUCAUCUUACCAAACAAGCCAAAACCUGCAACAGAAGCAUUUUAAAUGUUUAACAACGUCUCCCUUCUCAAUGUAACAACCUCCAAAGAUAAAUCUAGGAGACCAUUCAAGGCAGGCAGGCAGGGAGGAGGGCACCACAGUCAUAAUAGCACUUGAAUGUCACACUGCAGUUGACCAGCAGCAUCGUUCGCUGGGGGUCAUUUUGGAAAUUUGGAGGAGAACUUUGAAUUUUAUCAUGACAGGAAAGGGGGUUCCCGGCCUUUAGUGGAUGGGCUCCUGUUCCAAACAAAAAUUUUCCUGCAUUGUGGAUGACGUGUGAAUGUAACAAUAGAUGUUCACGUGAAUGACAGGCCUUUAUAUGUACACAAAACCCAGCUUGAGCACAAAAUAGUUUUCGCAAGUUUUUAACUGACAUUUUUGGAAAUAUAGCUAACAUGUAAAUGCACAGAAGGUUGUACUUUGUUUUGUACAGAAUUUUACUCAGGGGUGUGCACUAUUUUGGAAAACUCACACAGUGAGUUUGAGAUCCUGAGUCAGUUGGUUUGUGUGCCUGUGACCUUCCCUGUUGUUCAAUGUGCAACCACAAACAUCUGAGUCCUUCAUGUCUUCUAGUGUGACUGUGCCUCACACUUACAUGUUGAAAUAUGUAUUUAUAU
ensembl:lncRNA